rnacentral:rRNA from 1 species
CCUACGGGAGGCAGCAGUGGGGAAUAUUGCACAAUGGGGGAAACCCUGCUGCAGCGACGCCGCGUGAGUGAAGAAGUAUUUCGUUAUGUAAAGCUCUAUCAGCAGGGAAGACAAUGACGGUACAUGAUUAAGAAGCCCCGGCUAACUACGUGCCAGCAGCCGCGGUAAUACGUAGGGGGCACGCGUUAUCCGGAUUUACUGGGUGUAAAGGGAGCGUAGACGGCAGCACAAGUCUGGAGUGAAAGGCCGGGGCUUAACCCCGGAACUGCUUUGGAAACUGUGCAGCUAGAGUGCAGGAGAGGUAAGUGGAAUGCCUAGUGUAGCGGUGAAAUGCGUAGAUAUUAGGAGGAACACCAGUGGCGAAGGCGGCUUACUGGACUGUAACUGACGUUGAGGCUCGAAAGCGUGGGGAGCAAACAGGAUUAGAUACCCCUGUAGUC